rnacentral:misc_RNA from 1 species
AACCACUCAAGCCUAGCUUGGUAUUAGGGCACGCGGUUUCGCAGCCCUCAAAAUCAGUGGCGGUGCCGGUGGGCUCUAAGCGUAGUACAUACUCCCGCUAUAGAGUUUCCCCGGUAGCUCGCCAGAACUCCCAAUUUUUACA